rnacentral:tRNA from 1 species
UCCCUGGUGGUCCACUGGUUAAGAAACCAUGCUCCCAAUGCAGGAGGUCCAGGUUCGAUUCCUGGUCAGGGAA